rnacentral:rRNA from 1 species
CCUACGGGAGGCAGCAGUGGGGAAUAUUGCACAAUGGGGGAAACCCUGAUGCAGCGACGCCGCGUGAGUGAAGAAGGAAUUCGUUAUGGAAAGCUCUAUCAGCAGGGAAGAAAAUGACGGUACCUGAGUAAGAAGCCCCGGCUAACUACGUGCCCGCAGCCGCGGUAAUACGUAGGGGGCAAGCGUUAUCCGGAUUGACUGGGGGUAAAGGGAGCGUAGACGGCAGGGCAAGUCUGGAGUGAAAGGCGGGGGCUCAACCCCCGGACUGCUCUGGAAACUGUACGGCUGGAGUGCAGGAGAGGUAAGUGGAAUUCCUCGUGUAGCGGUGAACUGCGUAGAUAUUAGGCG